GCGGCCCCGCCGGAGCCCAGCGCAACUUCCCGGCCCCGGCCCCACCUCCACCUCGGCCCGAGGGGAGCGGGCGCCGCGGCCGCCGGUGCUGGGGGCGCCUGACGUCAGCGGGGCCGGGCCACGCGGAGCCGGGGGGGGAGCGGCGGGAGAGCGCGCGGCGGCGCCGCAGCCGGACUCGGAGCCGGACCCGGAGCCGGCGCUGCCCGCGCUGAGCCGAGCCGCGCUUCCGCGGCAACUUCCCCACGCGCACACACGCACACCUAUACGCGCGCACACACACACACACACACGCGCGCGCACGCAGCAGCCUCGCGUCCCGGUGCGCAGCCGGCCCGGGCACCCCGCGCCUCCCCCGCUCCCCGCCCGCGGAGCCGGGCGCGCUGCCGGCGGGGCCGGGGCUGGAGCGCGGAGCCCGGGCGGGCGGCGGUGGCGCUGCUGGGGACCGCUCGCCCCUGCCUGGCCGCAGCGGCUGGACGUCCAGCGCGGGGCGAGCCCGAGAGCCGGAGCCGGAUGCCGGCAUGUCCGCAGCGCUAGGCGCCCCUGCCCCUGCCCCUGCCCCUGCCCCCGGGCGGCUGAGCGGCGGCGGCGGCGGCCCGGCCAUGGGACGCGCGCCCCGGUGAGGUCCCCGCGAGGAAGCGGCCGAGAGCGGCGAGCGGCGGCGGGGCAGCACGGAUGGACCGCGCCGGGCAGGUCUGAGCCGCCCCCGCCGAGCGUGACAAUGUGGAGGACUCGGCUCCCGGGAAUCAGGUCAGGUUGCCCAGUAGGAAGCCAUGCUUGGAUAUUAAUAGCCAUGUUUCAACUAGCCAUGGAUUUCUCCACCUGUGAAUCUGUAGCCCAAGGCCAAGGGUUUAGGCUCUGGCAGAGGCCAUCUCACCGGCACAGAUUGUCCCAUAGUCCUUUGUGGAGUUUUAAAAAUGGACAGCAGUUGCGGAUUCUCAGUCCUUUCUGGAACCAUGCUUCUUUUCAUCCUGAAUGGUCUGAUCAGCAACUACAAACAUAUCAUUCCAGAAGGCCACACAAAACCAUAGACCAGUUUUCAGGCCUUCUUUCUAAAAGCAUGCAGUCUCAGCGCUCUACUGCAGCAAAAUCAGCCCCUUCCAUUGCAGAUGGGAACAAGAGGAGUACAGAGCUGCAGACUCAUUUGAAAAGGGGCAAAAGGCACCUCCGAGAAAACAGUUUUGAUCACAGAGACAGCAGGCCCACCACGCUGCCUGAAGUAAUUAUAUGGGGUCCAACAGGAGAUGAGGACUCCGUAGAAACCAGUACGUUCCCUGGGAAUUAUGGCACCACCACCACCACCACCACCGCCACUUUACAAACAAGAACAACUACUGUGGCAACCACCACUACUACUACCACUUCCACGACUGUACAGUCUAAAGGGUUCACAGCAUCACCCGGGCCAGGGAGUAAAACACACAAGAACAACCCUGGUAGGAUUAGCACAACGGAGCCUCAUUCCAUCCGCAAUAGUGAUGAGAGGGAUGCUACAGCGCCAAAAGACAAUUCAGGUCUGGCAGUCCAUCAGAUUAUCACCAUCACAGUGUCUCUCAUCAUGGUCAUAGCUGCUCUGAUAACAACUCUUGUGUUAAAAAAUUGUUGUGCACAAAGUGGUAACCCCAGGAGAAACAGCCACCAGCGCAAAAUCAAUCAGCAGGAGGAGAGCUGCCAGAAUCUGACGGACUUCACCCCAGCUCGUGUGCCCAGCAACCUGGACAUAUUUACAGCUUAUAACGAAACACUGCAGUGCUCCCAUGAGUGUGUCAGGACAGCUGUGCCUGUGUACACAGAGGAGACAUUGCACUCACCAGGGGAUUAUAAAACAACGUUCAAUGGAAACAGACCCUCUUCUUCUGAUCGGCAUCUUAUUCCUGUGGCCUUUGUGUCUGAGAAAUGGUUUGAAAUCUCCUGCUGACUGGCCGAAGUCUGUUUUACUUCCUGGGGGCAGGGCAGACGCCAUGUGGCUAUUUCCUGGAUUCCGCUGGUGAACCUGUAAAAAACAAAACGGACAAAAAUAUUAAUGGGUUACCUGUACCUACCCAGUUCUGUUUACCGGUAGGAGACUAAAAGAGCAGCACUCUAUGGGCCAAAUAUAUUUUUAUAAAAAUGAACAUGCCUAUAGGUAACUGCAUUUUCAAAGAGUGCAUUUUUUUGAAGAAGAGAAAAAAAUGUGCAAGCAAAGAAUCUCUGUGAAGAAAGAUGAAGUCGAGAAGAAAUGAGGCAAAGGACCGAACAUCUGAAGUUUGGGAUAUGGACUGUGAUUCUGAACCUGUGCCAAUAAUACCAUUAUGUGCCAUGUACUGAUGUGAAAGACUUCGCAGCAAGCCGAAGCUAAGUGAAUUACACAUAGACAUAUUACAGAAAAUAGGGGUGGGGUAUCUCUUCUGAUAGAGUCAAUAUUUCUGGUCAAUAUACAUAUAUACAUAUAUAUAAAUAUAUAUAUAUACAACACACACACACUUUUUUGUACUGUAGCAAUUUUUGAAGAUCUUAAAUGUUCAUUUUUAAAAAAGAAUUGUGUCAUGGGCUACAAAUCUGGUUUCCUUAACAUGCUUAGUAUGAACGAAAUAAACUGAUGUUUUCUACUUCGGCAGCUUGCCUUUCAAACAUAUAUAUUUAUAUGUAUAAAGAUAUAUAUACAUAUACAUAUAUACACACACACACACACACACACAAACAAAUACACACACACACACACACUUGAAAUACAUUUCCACUAGUGAACAUAUUAUUUGUAAAGCCCAGUAACCAAUUGAUAACGGAGGCUUCCCUGUUGAGGUUUGGAAGGUCGGUGAAAAUAACAGUUCUCUUUUCCAUGGUAGAAUUGCCAGGGUGCUAGCAAGAACGGGAAGAGAAUGUCUUUGGCUGAAAGCUGAAUUUUAUGAAAUUGCUCAUAGUGCAAAUAUCAGGUGGUUCUGACAGUUCUCAAAAGAAAAGUGUGUUUAAUAGUAUUCUAGGCUGAGUCCAGGAGUAUUUUGAAUACAACUGAAAAUAUGCAUUAGGCUCCAAUUCACAAAGUGCACUCUUGUUUUUGUGAAUUAAAACAAAGUCCAAAUGUAAACUUCGAAGGAGUGAAGUCAGUGGAAAAUCCCAUGAACCUGGCCACUCAGAUAUUUGCAUGCUGAACCCCCAACUCAAGUGCUAGUGCUGCUGUGAAACAGCAAUGAACUGGAAGAGUGAUCUGUGUUUGGAGGGUAAAUUUAAAAUCAAACUUUGUUCCAAAUAUCCCAGAUAUAUGCAUUGAAGUGGUGUCAACUCCAGGUGAACCUUCAUGUGCUUGCCAGGGUUACCAAAAAUUAUUACAUGUUUUUGUAAAAAAACCAACCAACCAACCAACCAAUCCAUACCUCCAGACCCUCUCCCCACCUUCGCUAGAAAUGCAUGCACCAAAGUGAUCGAGUAAUCCUAGACUUUGCCAGAUUAAAAGGUAGGUUGCAUUGGAUUGCUGAUUACCUUGCCAGAUUAAAAGGUAGGUUGCAUUGGAUUGCAGGGAACCUAAAAAUGAAAUCUGAAUUCAGCAUCUGUGCCAUUUAGUAGAUAAUAUAUGUUGGGUAGACUUUGCAAACGUGCACAACUGGGGACAGUGGCAAGAGCUAUUGUUACUGAAAACAAGUUGUAACUAGGAAGAAGUUACUACAAAAAGUGAGCAGUAAACUUUUUUAUUUUUUUAAUUCAUGUGCUGACAAGUUGGAUAGAAGAAAGGCCUGAAAACAACUGGAAGUUCCCUUCAUUUUGUAGCGCUCUAGUCUCUAUCUGUAUAUUUAUGGUGUUAUACAUAUGUGCUGGCCAGAGGGGAGUCUAAACAUUACUCUCUCUGUGGAAAAACAUAGAACUUCCCACCUUUGAAACCACGCUGCAUUUCACUAAACUCCAUCUUAUCUUACUGUGGGAAGUUAUGAGUCAGCCUUCACACAAAACUCCUGUAGUGCUGAGGGGGAAAAGCACAGGUUUGCCAUUCCCUCCCUAGCUACUGAAACGUGGCUGCAAAUCUUCCGGCCAGCUUCUGAAAGAUGAAUCCAUCUCGGUUGUGGCCAGCCCCUCCGAUGUGGCUUACUAUGAAUGUUCAGGUGGUGAAUUUUAUCAGCACAGACACACCCAGAAAUGAAUCUUACAGUCAGAUGUGAGAGUAUAUGUGGAAAUUGAAUUUAAACUUCUCUGUGCAGAGCAUAAAUAUUCACACUCAUUCAGCUGAGGGUAGGGACACAAUGAACUGGCACCAGACCGGAUCCAAAGACCACCAGAUCAUUUGGUACCUUUCUACUGGCUUCAGUGGGUUUGGAUUAAGGUGCACAAAAAUACAGCUCUACACAGCUGUUUAGGAAAAAACGAUAGUAUUCAAACGUCUUCAUACCAGCUCAUCUUUGUACCAGCUCAACUAGUCCCAGCACUUUUGUUUUGGGGGUUAAUUUUUGGCCAAGGGUAAUGAGCUAUUUUUUAACAUAAUGACUUACAGAGUAAAAUUCACCAUACAAAUCUUUCCGGUGGGACUAGGUUCUGAUCAUUAGUGCAGCCAAUAGUGAUGUGCUGGGUAGCUAGGUCAAGCCAAAGAUAAUUAGGUUUGGCUGUCAUCUUUAAAUAGGAAGGAGCAGAAAUAACUAUAAUCCAUGAAUAUCCACUUACGGUAGCUGAUAUCUAUCCAAGAACAGCUUCUACAACUUAAAAGAUUGCCCAAAAUAUGCUGGCAAUGGGACAUGUUUGCAAACAGUUUCAGGAGCUCCUCACAUUUCUAAAAUCUGACCUCCCCCAUGCCUAGAAGAGAGCAUCCACCAUUUGAAGAACAGCUUUUCAAAAGUUUAUAUUAGCUAUUUAUUCUUGAAUGGAAUCUUUUUGCUAUUUCUAACUGAAGCAUUUACCCCAAGUGGGCUAUAUAACUAAAGGAAUGUAUUCUACCCUCUUUUACGCUUGUACAAACCUACAGAAACCUCAGUGAAAUGAAUUGCAAUGAAAUUAGUAUACAUUUAGAAGAGCCUAAGUUAACCAGACUCUAGCCCCAUGGUUGCAGGAUCUUCCUUGUAAGCCGCCUCCAUAAGCAACGGCAAUUUGUUGGAACUAUGCAGAACAACAUUCAUAUUCAUAUAUUAAAUAGAUGACUCACUUUCUGUUUUCAACUUAAUAUGGGAAGUAUUCAGAAGAAAGUGGAUAUGUCCCACAUUUUAUGUGGCUAAUAGUGUAUAUUACAGCCCUGAAAAACAUGAUAACUUUUGCAGUCUCCCUGCUUCUACAGUAUUUUCUAUCCCUUUCUUACGCUACUAGGUGUUUUUUAUUUACAAUCUGCUCUGCUCAGCUCUGGAAAGAAAUCUUCAUGGCCCUGCUCCCUUCCCUCCUUAGGACAUAUGGGCCACACUCCAAGCCCUUUGAAGGCAAUGGAAUGACUGUAACUUUGAGGGGCUUUAAAUCAGAAACACCACUUCCUAUUGAGCUGGAUCACACAUAGAGUCUGGUAUUUGAUAAGAAGGAUGAGCAUAGAUUAUUUUUUGUCAGCAUGUAUUAUCUUACAUUCUCCUAUGUUAAAUUCUACCUGUCAUUGUGCUGCUUGACAUGUACAGUGUUAAUGUUCACCCCAGGCCUUUCAAUGGACUUCACAAGUUUUAUAAAGCCACCUAUCAAAUGAGUUUUAUAUACUCAACCUCCACUUUCCACACCUAAACUGACUGCCACAGCACCCACCUCCUUCAACCAUACAGUGGGGCCAGUUUCCUAAAACACCCAAUCAGCUUGUAUUCUCUGACAAAAUUUUGCUCCUUAUUUAAGAACCAUUUAUUUCCUUCAGGCGAAAUUUCAUUCCUCUUGAGUAGUACCUCUUGACUUCAGGGAGGUUGCUCAUAGAGAUGGGUUCUGUUCAGUGGACGCAUCUACAUAGAUGCUACGUUGCCAUAAUGACAAGCUAUGGCAAUGUAGCUCAUUGCUAUGGUGACAUAGCAUCAGUGGGCACUAACUAUGACGCCACCAUUACUGCGCAGUAGGGUUGGAAAUGACCUGUGCGCUGCCAAUACUGCACAGUCCCGGCAUGUGUAGAUGCCCCCAGUAUGUAGCAGAUGAUAAGAAUGUUGACCUCCAUCAUCUUUUCUGGAGGAACCUAGCAAUUUCUUUUCCUAUUUAGCACAUCCAGGUAAAUGAUGUCCCUUGGGCGAAGUAAUCUAGUAUCAGGUAGAUUAUUUCAAACAUUUCUAGGGUUAGACAAGCCUGUAGGGUUAUAUAAACUUCCCCCAGUUGUCUACUGUGCUGUAUGCAGCUAGACACUUCAUUGUAUCCAGGUUAGGUUUGCUGGUCUAUAAUUCCCAAGACCUGUUUUUUUAACAUGCUGAUUAUUGUAGGCAAAAAGAGUAAGUGUGCACAGGAUUAAAUGUACCCAUGUGCACUGGCUCUCCAGCACUUAAAUCCUGUUUAUGCCCUAUUUUGAGGGAUUAAACAGGAUUUCAGUGAUGCACAACCUUUGUUACCAGGCCUUCUGCAUAGGGGAGAAUUUCGCACAGAAGGAGUGGACUCCUUCAAAAGACUUCUCUUAGGAAAAACAGUAUACAUUACCUUCCCAAGUGCUUUGCCUCCACCUUCCCUACGCACGACUGCUGUCAAAGACAGAUCUUGUCAGAUCUUUCCACAUUCCCCAACAGAGUACUAAACAAUGGCCACAGCACAAUAUUAUUCUUCCUUCUCAAUUCUAUUUCACUGAGGUGGUCUGUCCAUCCAAUGUGUAGUCCCAGGCCUAAUGAUGAAAGUACAACAGAAGUUUGUUUUAGAAGUACUUAAUUAAAGCAUAAUUGACUAACCUCUUUAUUAUUAAUUCUACUAAUCAUCAUUAUUGUUUUUUAGCUGGGCCUGAUUGGUCUCUCCUGCAUGCUGGAGAAAGUCAGGUGUAAUUCUCUUUGUAGUCAGUGGGGUUACACCUGGGUAAAGCAGGUUGAAGCGAGAGGACAGUCAGCCUACAGUAUUUACGUGGCAUAGUUACACUUCAGUCAUCUCUAUCUGUGGCAGUAGAUUAUAAUUAACAUACAAUUGGCUUUAAACAGUCCGUAGCACCACCUAGUGCACUAAACAUACUGUCUGUGCACUAAUCACACUGUAUGAUAUACUUAAUAAGCAAGAGUUUAAAAAAAGCAAACCAUUAAACCAAAACUUGCACGAUUAAUGUGAUUUUGGGUGAUUACUUUGGUGCAAUCAGUUGAUUCAGUAUACUGGGGGCUUUGUAUUUUAUCAGUGUAAACAAUGCAGUCCACACAAACAACCAAAACUCACUAUCACAGAGUAUAUGAAUUUCUCUUCCUUUUACUUACAUUGCAUUGAUCCACUUUCAACCAUGAGGACUAUCUAUGUGUGUUAUAUUUUACCCAUUGAUCUUCUAUUUAUUUGUAUCUGUUGGCUGCACUGAGUAGUUCUUGUGGGUAUUCUAAUGUAAUCCUAAUAGCAGUUUGACAUCAUAAAACAGAUUUCAUUUCCCUCUUUCAAAAAUGUUUGAAGUAUUGUUAUAUAUUUAUGCAUCUGUUGAAUUUGGGUCCUUACUAGACUGUUAUAAGUGAGGAAGAUACAGUUAUGGAGGGGAGGGGGGGGGUGGAUGUUGUAUUCCUCACUACCAUAAGCAAGAGGGGCCAAAACUCCUGUGGGAUUAGCAUCCAAUAAAAAAAAUUGUCAAACAAAGGCAAGGGAGGGAAUACUGUUGACCUCAUCCAACUCGAGCAAGACCUUAACUUCAUGAGCUUUCCACUUACUCUGCAGAGACAGAAUCAGUCACUGUGAGACCAGCCAGUGACAGAACAGAAGCAAAACUAUAUGCACAAACUUCCCUUAUUUAUAAGGACCAAUGGCACUUGCACUUUAUCAGAGGAAUAUUCACAUCCCUAUGCAUGCUGAGCAAACCAAGAAAGAGAGAAACCUGUAGAACCACCAGCAGGAGAGCACUGCAAACACACUGAUUGCCAUGCAGGACUGUAGUGUCCUGACCUUUUGUAUGGUUAAAGAAAAAAAAAAGCAUUUAAUCCGUUCCCUGUAAUUGAGGGAAGCCAAAAAAUAUAGAGAGUGAUAUUUUUGAGUGGGAUUGAUGCUUAUCUGGUUUUUAGCUGUUAUGUUACAAAGAACAUGUUCACCCCACACUUUAUCAGAUGAUACAAAGCAGCAGGCAUGUUCUUCUGUUUAGAUUUAUUUUGUUCCCACAGCCAGAUUUUCCCCAUGAGAACCUUACAAAAUCAGCAGUCACAUGCCAUCACUUUGUAUGGAUCUCCUUUAUAAGGAGCAAUUGCAAAAGGCAGAUACUUAGCUGGUGGUACCUGGCCCAGUUCCACUGACACUAGUUUACACAAGCUGAACAUCUGGUGUGAAAUUCCUUGACAGCAAAUGAGCAAGUUUCUGCAACUACUUACAGAAUGAGUCCCUUUACACCUGGGAGCCAUUCUUUUGGGUUCUAUAGGACUUACUCCUAGGAGAAAAACUACUCAUCUUCAUGAUUAUAGAAAGAGGCUCUAAGAUCACAGUUUGUAUCAUGUUCUGGAGCCAAACCACAUUCCAUCGAGUGUGUGAUUACCAUACCUCAAAAUGCAGCAUUGUGUUCUUUGACAAUUUGAUUUUAUUCAUAUUCUUUGAGGCAACAUCUCUUCCCAAUCCUGAGGAAGGAGGUCAGGUCAAAUCUCCUGUAAAUAUAUGCAGUCUAUCCUGGGAGGUCAUGCUUUGCUACAGUGUCAUGCUAUGGAAUCAGAGGUAUAUAUUUCUUGUGAAUAGAUGAAUAUAUAAUAAAUAUAGAUAAGCAACCAUAUAUACUCAAAAGGAUAGUGUUCCAAAGGGAUCUGGUGACACUGUGAACAGCCAAAACUGGCUGUUUACAUACAGAGCCCUGAGACCGAGUUGUGUUGCUGCAUACAUGUUUCUUUUAUAUAUAUAUAUAUAUAUAUAGAUCUAUAUAUACAUAUGCAAAUUUUAGAAUGUUUCUUUCUGGAGUUGUUUGCAGUUUAUAUUCCAUGGACCUGAUUCUGCUAAGUGCUUAGCACCUCCUGGACCAAAUUCUGUAAGCCCCAUUGUCAUGUGAUUUCAGUGGGAGCUGAGGGCACUCAGAACCAAAUCGGGUCAUGACCCUGACCACACUUUUCCAAAACAUCAGAGCAUGGUACUGCCAAUGUGGGGUCCUAGUCAUGUGUGCAGAGGUGCAUAAGGCAUGUAUGAGUGCAGGACAGGGAAGCGAGACUUCUUGGAGUCCUAACCACAGCUGCAGCAAAGACUCAGUGAGUGGCUUAGGUGCAAAGUGCUGGACCUGUUGCCCUGAGUUCCCCCACCUGUAAAAUGGGGAUAAUAAUACUGACCAAACCUACCUCACAGGGGUGUUGUGAGGAUUAAUUAGCUGAUGUCUGUACAGCUCUUUGAACCUGUAAAGCAUUGUAUAAGAACUAAGUAUUAUUACAGCUGUUACACAGUUAAUCCUGUAGUAUGGAAUGCCAAGCUGUCUGCAAAUCUGUAGGGACCCAAAGAGAUCAUAGCUGCGUUACUGAUAACAUACUGACGUCUUGCAGUGAUAGAUGUGUGCGUCACUCAUACAUGACACCAAGGCUGGGUCACAAGCCAAAUGCGCGCCUCUUAAUGACCAGCAUGUGCCGUUUCCUCAACAACAUAGAUGUGAUUUUCUUUCCAAUGCAUUACAGACAGAGCAGUUCCACCAAAGAGCUGUGCUGUUCACUAUACCAGAAAACUUCUGCUAAUUCCUUUGAAAUUCCAUUUGGUUCCUUCUGCCCAUGAAUACACGAUAGCCACCAUUUAUAAUGUUAUAAAAUCCCCUAAGAGAGAUCUUUUCUCAGCCAAGUGCAUCUUUAAAGAAAAGAGGUGGGAGAGCUAAGCACAGAUACACACAGGACAUGUUCAAACACUUGCCUGAACACAACUGGCAAUUUGAUCUUAGCCCAAGAUUUUGAAAGAAGUUUGGUUCACUUUUUUUGUACAAAAAUCCUGAGGGUCACUCCUCCUCUCAAGCCUGCCAGCAGGGACUGAUUGCAUCAGCAGAAGUUUGCAGGAGUCUUUCUUUUUUCACUCAGAAAAAGGCCCCGAUUUGACUUCAGGUGGGGUUUUUUUUUCCUAAAUCUGAGCAAAAUCUGAACAUGAACUUAGGGACAUGGUUCUUAAUCCAAACUCUCUGAAGUCAAUGGGAGUCAGGUGCUUGACCUCCUGAACUGCUCAUGCUUCUGUGCCUCCUGGUGUCAUCUGGAAUUGGAAGGCAAAUCAGUCUGGGUUUCCUGCCUGUAUGCCUAUGCAAGGCUAGCUCAGAUAAGCAUCCUGCCACAGUCCAGAAUGUUACCUAUCACUAGUUAUUGUGCAGGCAGGUAGGAGAACAGUAUUAUUUUUUCCUUUGCAAACUAACUAUAUGUAUUCAAAAGGAAGCAACUAGUCUUAGUGCCACUCAGAGAUGGAAAGAUGUGUAUUUUUUUGCGGUGGCAAGAGGCUGGACAAAUGUUGAUGAGUUUUAGUGGCCUCCAAACAAAAGAGGAAAAAAACAACACAUUGUUUCAAUGUGGGGAAAGCAUUUUGCAACUAUCCAGGGAUUUAGCUGUACCUUAAAAGGUUUCUUUUUUCUCCCUACUGUAUCUGCCCUGCUGGUGAAGUGGCUGAUCCAUGAUUUAUUUAACUGAAAGCUGUUCAGAAGCAGCACUCCUACAGAGUCCUCAAAUCUAAAGUAUACUUCCAGUGCAGUCAGUAAAACAAAUAGAAAAAGGUCAACCAGUCCAAAAGGUUAUUUGAAACUUCAGAUGGAUUUCAGUUAAUUUAUUUUCCAUUGGCAACAUGUUACGAAGGAGCAUAAUGCACCUAAAAGGAUAGUCAAACAGGAAAUAUUUUACACACCUGACAUAUUUUGUUAAAAAAUAUACAAAAUCACCCACCACUUUUGAGAUGAAUGUGGUUGGAAUUUUCGUUCAACCAGGUACGAAACCUGGAAAUGAUUUUCAAAACCAGCAAGAAAUCCCUAAUCAUUUUAAAAGCCUGAUUUGGGUCCGGUUUGUACUGCAGAGUCACAUGAUGCUUGUCACAAUUUUUGUAGUCUCAGCAUUUGUAGGCACAUUUUUAAAAUACCAUGCGUGGAGAUACUUACUUUGAGGGGGAAAGAAAAAAAAAACUAUCUUGCACAAAACAUACACUAAGGGCACAGUUUUCUGACCAAGACUAUUUUACGUUAGGUUUUGAAGGGUUUGGUUUUUUUGGUUGCAGGAACAUGUACAGUAAAAUUUACAGUUUAUUUUCAUUUUGCCAAAACAUUUUCUAACAUAAGAAAAGUUUUACUUUGUAAUCAAAGGUUCACAUCAUGGAAGACCAUUUAUUUUUCUGUGAAUGCUAUUUACCAUGUAUGUGUGUAUGUGUGUGUGUGUGUGUGCGCGUGCGUGUGUGUGUAUAAAAUUGCAUACACCCACGCACACAUAUAUCUAUUCUAUACAGAUUCAUAUAUGCUACACACAUAUAGGUCUUUAAUGGGUUUAAACCUUUGUGUCAAUUUUAACACUGUACUUUCCUUUUCUAAACAGAUCAUGCCACUUUACUACUAAUAAAUGACAUAUAGGGUUUUGGAGGGAGUCAACUGGCUAUGAUUCCGUACAGGUGAACUAUUUUAUUCCAGAGUGUUUUUUAAUUUGUUUCUGUAUUUCAAAGCUGUGUAUUUGGAAAGCACUGUAAAUGCAACCCUAUACCAAUUUCCCUAUGUAUAUUUAGUACUCUGAUGUUGCUAUUAAAAAACAAUAUGAGAAAAACAUG